UACGUAGGGGGCGAGCGUUGUCCGGAUUUAUUGGGCGUAAAGGGCGUGUAGGCGGCCGCUUAAGUCAGGAGUGAAAAUCCGGGGCUCAACCCCGGACCUGCUUCUGAAACUGAGUGGCUUGAGUGCUCUAGAGGGCAGUGGAAUUCCCGGUGUAGCAGUGAAAUGCGUAGAGAUCGGGAGGAACACCAGUGGCGAAGGCGACUGCCUGGGGAGUAACUGACGCUGAGGCGCGAAAGCUGGGGGAGCAAAC
rnacentral:rRNA from 1 species